rnacentral:lncRNA from 1 species
UCAUACAGGCAAUGAUAGUGAGAAUCUGUGAGUGUCAUCAACAACCAACUCAAAAGGACCUUCCAAAUUAACAGCCGUAGAGCUAACACGAUGAAUCAGAGGCCCUAAAUCCUCUUCCACCGAUUUGGGCUUCCUCCUCAACUUGCUCCAACUCACAACCUGGUCAGAGAAUUUCACAAAAAAAUUGCUCUUUUUCCCAAACCCAAUUCUGAACUCGAAGUUCUGAAACGUUCCAAACCUGAACCUGUUCCCAAUAGAUUCCGAAUUAGGAACCCACAAAUCGUUCAAAUCCCACUUCUGCUUCAACGAGAUUGCCUUCAAUAC